GACGAACGCUGGCGGCGUGCUUAACACAUGCAAGUCGAACGGAAAGGCCCUGCUUUUGUGGGGUGCUCGAGUGGCGAACGGGUGAGUAACACGUGAGUAACCUGCCCUUGACUUUGGGAUAACUUCAGGAAACUGGGGCUAAUACCGGAUAGGAGCUCCUGCUGCAUGGGGGGGGUUGGAAAGUUUCGGCGGUUGGGGAUGGAUUCGAGGCUUAUCAGCUUGUUGGUGGGGUAGUGGCUUACCAAGGCUUUGACGGGUAGCCGGCCUGAGAGGGUGACCGGCCACAUUGGGACUGCGAUACGGCCCAGACUCCUACGGGAGGCAGCAGGGGGGAAUAUGGCACAAUGGGCGGAAGCCUGAUGCAGCAACGCUGCGUGCGGGAUGACGGCCUUCGGGUUGUAAACCGCUUUCGCCUGUGACGAAGCGUGAGUGACGGUAACGGGUAAAGAAGCACCGGCUAACUACGUG
rnacentral:rRNA from 1 species